rnacentral:rRNA from 1 species
GACGAACGCUGGCGGCGUGCCUAAUACAUGCAAGUUGAGCGCUGAAGGUUGGUACUUGUACCGACUGGAUGAGCAGCGAACGGGUGAGUAACGCGUGGGGAAUCUGCCUUUGAGCGGGGGACAACAUUUGGAAACGAAUGCUAAUACCGCAUAAAAACUUUAAACACAAGUUUUAAGUUUGAAAGAUGCAAUUGCAUCACUCAAAGAUGAUCCCGCGUUGUAUUAGCUAGUUGGUGAGGUAAAGGCUCACCAAGGCGAUGAUACAUAGCCGACCUGAGAGGGUGAUCGGCCACACUGGGACUGAGACACGGCCCAAACUCCUACGGGAGGCAGCAGUAGGGAAUCUUCGGCAAUGGACGAAAGUCUGACCGAGCAACGCCGCGUGAGUGAAGAAGGUUUUCGGAUCGUAAAACUCUGUUGGUAGAGAAGAACGUUGGUGAGAGUGGAAAGCUCAUCAAGUGACGGUAACUACCCAGAAAGGGACGGCUAACUACGUG